CAUAACUCCUCAGGAAAAUGUUUUACUGACGUUAUGAAUCAAGUGAGAAGUAGAGUCACGUUCUCAUAGAGUCGCCCUCUGCUGGUCAGGACACAGAACACAGGCUUCACACACUGCAGACCUGGAGUCUACGUCAAUGGUUCGCCCACCAUCCGCUGCAGCCACCUCCCAGAGACGUUCAAUCAUAGUCCAUAUUCAUAAUCAAGCCAGCGAUCAGGUUUCCAACAAAAACAGAUUUGCUUGUAAGCAUCUGGUCGUACGUGAGGAGACGAGGCUGCAACGUGGAUUCACCUGCAGCAACGAGCAGGUGGACGUGAACGCAUCGACAGACGGCCACUGACCUUUUCCUCUGAACACUGCCUGUGAUUCAUCAGUUAAAGAUCUAAUUCAGAAGCUCCCGGGUGUCCUCUGCUGAAGGAGAUAGGAAAGGAAGUAUUGAAGCUCCUUUCCUAAGCACUCAGAGAAUCUGAACAUCAUCAUGGUGCUGAGGAGACACUGACACUUCUCUCAGUUAUGAACCUUCAGAAGCCGAAUUGUCAAAGUUUUAGACAUUUUAACAGAGUUAGUGAAUCUGCAGCAGACAAAAAGGUUAAAAAAGUACGUUUUUCACUUUGGCAUUAUGGGAUGUUGAGUGUAGAUUAAUGAAAAAGUGAAGGUGUGUGAAUAUUUUCUGACUGUUCUCUUGUUCAGUACUAGAUGAAUAAAAUGUGAUGGGUUUUCUUCUUAAACCAUAAUCUCUCCAUUCUUCU